GACGAACGCUGGCGGCGUGCCUAAUACAUGCAAGUAGGACGCAGUUGCGAACGGGUGAGUAACGCGUAGGUAACUACCUAUUAGAGGGGGAUAACUAUUGGAAACGAUAGCUAAUACCGCUGACUAGUAGAUGGCACUGCGUUGUAUUUGCUAGUAGGUAGGGUAAUGGCCUACCUAGGCAACGAUACAUAGCCGACCUGUGAUGGUGAGCGGCGACCCUGAGACUGAGACACGGCCCAGACUCCUACGGGAGGCAGCAGUAGGGAAUCUUCGGCAAUGGGGGGAGCCCUGAGCGUGCAACGCCGCGGUAGUGAAGACGGUUUUCGGAUCGUAAAGCUCUGUUGUUAAGGAAGCGGUACUUAACCAGAAAGGGACGGCUAACUACGUGCCAGCAGCCGCGGUAAUUC
rnacentral:rRNA from 1 species